GGGCCCUUAGCUCAAUGGUUAGAGCAGCGGACUCAUAAUCCGUUGGCUGAAGGUUCAAAUCCUUCAGGGCCCACCA
rnacentral:tRNA from 1 species